rnacentral:lncRNA from 1 species
AUCAGGGCCUUUUAUAGCUGACUAUGCGGUAUGGGCUUUGCUCAUUGUUGAAGGCCGUACGGUGACCUAUAGUUGUUAAUGUCUGUGUCAUUUUGGUCUUUUGUGGAUAGUUGUCUCAUUGGCAAUCAUACCACAUCUUCUUUUUUAUUUUUAGAUUUUUGGUCCCUUUUUCAAAUUGGUCUACCUUUAGGGGAAAGGGUCCAAAAACAAAAAUUUAAUUCUUUGGG